UUCGGCUUAGAGUUUGAUCCUGGCUCAGAUUGAACGCUGGCGGCAUGCCUUACACAUGCAAGUCGAACGGCAGCACGGGAGCAAUCCUGGUGGCGAGUGGCGAACGGGUGAGUAAUAUAUCGGAACGUGCCCAGUCGUGGGGGAUAACGCAGCGAAAGCUGUGCUAAUACCGCAUACGAUCUAUGGAUGAAAGCGGGGGAUCGCAAGACCUCGCGCGAUUGGAGCGGCCGAUAUCAGAUUAGCUAGUUGGUGAGGUAAAGGCUCACCAAGGCGACGAUCUGUAGCUGGUCUGAGAGGACGACCAGCCACACUGGAACUGAGACACGGUCCAGACUCCUACGGGAGGCAGCAGUGGGGAAUUUUGGACAAUGGGCGCAAGCCUGAUCCAGCAAUGCCGCGUGCAGGAUGAAGGCCUUCGGGUUGUAAACUGCUUUUGUACGGAACGAAACGGUCCUUUCUAAUAGGAAGGGGCUAAUG
rnacentral:rRNA from 1 species